GGGCAAGCACAUAAGCUGUGUUCAUGUAGAAAAACCAAAUUCACAGCAUGCAGGGAUCUCUGUGUGUUUAGUGGAAUGCAUGAAUUGACCUUCUUUUUCCACCUUCUGCUGAAUAUGCAGGUCAUGGUGGGGCCAGCAGUAGUUUCCUGCUCUGAUUCUUGCAAUCAGGAAUAAAUUCAGGUUGAACAUAGAACAUGGUCACAUAAACAGAUGAAUGAAAAAGAAGGCCUGCCCAACAGAGGCAGCUGAGAAGAUGUGGCAGUCUGUGUGAAGGUGACUCCAAGCAAUAAAUCUUGACAAAAGUCUUUUGCAGUUUCAAAUAACAGAAAGAAUAUGUGCAUUUAUCUAUGUAGAUUAUUAAAUAAAU